CAUACAGGUGUGAGCCACUGCACCCAGCCAGGCAGCUUUUUAUUAGACUUUCACUAGGUCCUUGUAGGUGGAACCUUAGUGGUCACAGUGGGCCAGGAGGGUUUGGCUAGUUUUGGCCUUUGUAGCCAUCUUUGAAUUACACUAUUAGUAGAUCAGUCUGGUCUCUAAAAGGAAAAAGACCACAGUCAUUAUUGGAGUUUGACUAUUCCGUUUAAAAUGUAGCUUUUAAGUGAGGUACAUCAUAAAGGAUCUACUGGCUGGGCACGGUGGCUCACGCCUGUAAGCCCAGCACUUUGGGAGGCCGAGACGGGCAGAUCACUUGAGGCCAGGAGUUUGAGACCAGCCUGGGCAACAUGGUGAAACCCCAUCUCUACUAAAAAUACAAAAAUUAGCUGGGCAUGGUGGUACGUGCCUGUAAUCCCAGCUACUCAGGAGGCUGAGGCAGGACAAUCACUUGAACCCGGGAGGCGGAGGUUUCAGUGAGCCAAGAUCACUCCAUUGCAUUCCAGCCUGAGUGACAGAGCAAGACUCUGUUUAAAAAAGACAACGAAAACCGAAAAACAAAGAACAGGUGGAGUCUACUGACUUGCAUGAGUCAGGUAAUUCAUUGACCGGGGCUGGUCAAAAAGAUGGGUUGAUCCUUACUGUGGAAGCUCUCAGCUGCCCUGCAAUACUUUGGAAAUAAACCAGGCAAAACACUGCUCAGUGUGCUGCACUCCAGACACAAACAGGAAGCUGCUCUUUCUCUGCUUCCCUCCCCCACAAUCAGACUCUUGUAACUCUCUUUUCUUCUUUUUCUAAAAUGAAUCUGGGAGUUUCCUUUAGCCCCUGUUUUGUGGUCGCCUCCCAUACACGUUUUAUCUGUCCGUGGCAUUUUCUUUUAUUUAUUGAAAGCACCGUGUCUUAGAUCAAGUCUUGAGAAACAGAACCUGAGACAAACAUGAAUGUGGUUAAUUGAACGAGCGCUGUGCAGGAAAAGCUGUACUGGAGAGAGGCCUGGCCUGGUGUUCAGAACACAAAUGUGAAAAAUCAGACCGGGAAGAUCACGGGAGGCAGGAAGCAUCUGGUUUGCAGGAGUCUCACUCUGUCACCCAGGCUGGAGUGCAGUGGCGUGAUCUCAGCUGACUGCAAUCUCCACCCAAGUUCAAGAGAUUCUUCUGCCUCAGCCUCCCACGUAGCUGGGACUACAGGUAUGUGUCACCACUCCUGGCUAACUUUUUUAUUUUUAGUGGAGAAUGGGUUUCACCAUGUUGGCCAGGCUGGCCUUGAAAUCCUGACCUCAAGUGAUCCACCCACCUCGACCUCCCAAAGUGCUGGGAUUAUAGGAAUGAGCCACCACGCCUGGCCACCCUUGGCUAUGUUAUUAAAGACAUGCAAGGGAAACAUUAACUUCCAUAUUAAAAUAUUCUCUUUCUUUUUUUAUCCUGUACAGAGCAUACCAUAGCAGCUUGUGCCUGAGACCUCGACAAAUAUCUGGGGGAUAGAUUGGCUUGCAGAGCACAUUCUGCCUAUAGAAAUGAGUUAGCAAGUUUAGUCAGCCAUUGUAGAUUUCAAAGGGUGAGAAGCCUAGCCAGAGGUUAUAAUAUAGCAUGAUAUCCUCCUGGAAAUGGAAUUCUUCACUUGCGAUGCAUUUUAGGAGCCGCUGCUCUGUGUGAGCCACUCUGCUAGGUCCCAGCAUGCAUGAUAUUAUUCUACACAAAGAAUAAUAUCAGAGCUCACAGCCUAUGCAGGAAGUAAGCAAUUAGUUACAGCGUGAUGUGUACUGCAACCCAGGUAAGUACACAGUGUCAUGGAUGCUUCCAGGAGGAAGUCAUAGUCUGACCAGGAAGUUUGGGAAUACUUCUCAUAGGAAGCAACAAGCUACCUGGAAAGAUCUAGAAAGAUGAACAGUACCAGUGUAUUGAUUAGAAAUGCGUUCAGCAGCAAGUCAUAGAACACAUGACUAGUAAGGUUUAAACAAAUAGAAGGUUAUUUUCUCAUAUAAUAAGCCCAGAGGUAGGCACUAAAGGUGGUACAUUGGCUCAGUGGUGUUGGGACUAAGGUUUCUAAAAUUCUCUUGUCCUCUAAGACAUGGCUGCAGGUUGGCUGCAGCAGCUCCAGGCAUCGUGUCCACACUGAAAGGAGAAAGGGGGAGGCCAGCUAUGAUUUCCCCUUUUAUCAGGAAAGCAGAAACCUUCCUGUGGAUUUCUGCUUAUAUCCCACUAGCCAGAACUGGGUCAUGUGGCUAUCCUUAGCAGCAAGGGAGCCAGGAAAGAGAGGAUUUCACUUCUCCAGCUUCUUCUGUAUAUGGGAGGGCAGGUAGGUGAAGGGGGCUAGACUGAAUCCUGUGUGAGCCAACUAGCAGGCAGAACAUUUUGCAUAGAACUGCAUUUGCAAAAACAUGGAGCUGUGAAAGUGUGUGGAACAUUUACAGGCUAUUUAUUUAUUUAUUUAUUUAGAGACAGAUUCUUGCUUUGUCGCCCAGGCUAGAGUGCAGUGACACGAUCUUGGCUCACUGCAACCUCUGCUUCCUGGGUUCAAGCAAUUCUCCUGCCUCAGCAUCCCCAGUAGCUGGGAUUACAGGUGCCUGCCACCAUGCCUGGCUAAUUUUUGUAUUUUUAGUAGAGACGGGGUUUCACCAUGUUGGCCAGGCUGAUCUUGAACUCCUGACCUCAAGUGAUCCACCCGCCUCAGCCUCCCAAAGUGCUGGGAUUACAGGCGUGAGCCACCGCCCCCAGCCUACAAUCAAAAAAUUUAAUAUCAUCAAAUUACAGGGCAUGUGGCAGAGAAGUGUGGGCAGACAAGACACAGAGAAGUGGAGAUGAGACUCUUCAGACCCUUGAAUGACAUGUUGAAGAGCUUGGAAUUUUCUUAUAGAACGAAGGAUCUCACUGUGAGGUGGCUACGAUUACUCUCUGCCCACCCUGGUUGCAUCUGGCUUACAGAAGACAAUCCCAGAAGAAACAGUCUCCCCCAAAGUCCGCAGCAACCCUUCCACUAGGAGUCUACUCCUGCUUACACAAGGCCCAUGCUCACGCCUCACCCCACUGCUGUGUCCAGGGCUUCGUGGUAUCCUGAUGGGCUAGCGUGGGUCACACUCCCACCCUUUGAGCCAUGGGCCCACCUAGUCCAAAUCAUAACAACUGAACAGGAUGAUCACAGGUUGUGGAGAUGAAUCUGCCAAAGUGAUGCUAGGCAGUGCGCUUUCUUUUUUAUUUUUAAAAUAUUUUUUGCAUGUAUGUAUGUAUGUGAGACAGUCUCGCUCUGUCGUCCAGGCUGGAGUGCAGUGGCAAGAUCUCGGCUCACUGCAACCUCUGCCUCCUGGGUUCAAGCAGUUCUCCUGCCUCAGUCCCCCGAGCUGUGAUUACAGGCAUGUGCCACCACACCCGGGUAAUUUUUGUAUUUUUGUUAGAGAUGAGAAUUCACCAUGUUGGCCAUGCUGGUCUCCUGACUUCAAGUGAUCCGCCUGCCUCAGCCUCCCAAAGUGCUGGGAUUACAGGCGUGAGCCACCAUGUGCAGCCAGUAGUGCUCUUUCUUUACCUCUGCCCAAAUGAGGACAAGGAGAUGAAGCGUGGCUGAAAGCAUCAGCCUCUUCCCAGCUGUCCUGAUUGCAUGGGCCGCUUGUCCACUGGACAGGUACUUUUCCUGCCGGGCCUGCUCGUGUGGUUUGGACAGAUGCCCAACUGUCAGGCUCACUCUGUUCUGUUCAGGGAGCUGGCAUUUGCUCCAGUUUCCUCACCUGCCCACAGGGCAGGUGUGUGUCUGUGCGCCCCAACCCCCUUGUCUUAUGAGGCCCACUCUAAUCCAAAAGGACCUCAUCUUUACAUAAUCAGAUCUGCUACGAUACUAUUUCCAAAUAAGGCCAUGUUCACAGAUAUAUGAAUGGUAAGAGCCAGUGGGCCAGGUUGCCCAUGUGAGGGAGCCGGUCUCCGCACCUUGAAUUUCUCUACUGUUCUGGCCUCCGGGGCCAUGACAUUGAGGAUGGCUGGCCACUGGGCAUUGCUCCUUGCACCAUUUUCUCUGGGACUCCCUGAUACAUGUGAGGUUCUUCUUUCUCAGGCCUCUUUGAGGUGCAGGGACCCCCCCGCCCCCAUUGCCUAGUACUCCAAACUGGCCUAGGUCUACCUCUCCCAGCCCAAAUGUCCUGAGGUCCGUGACUGGAUUAUGACUUCAUAAACACCCUUCCCCCACCCUCACCACCACCACUUCCAGCAUCUGAGCUGGAAGACUGCCCGUGUCCUUCCAAUCCACUUCCCUUCCCUGUUGUUCAUCCUCACAUUUCUCUAACCACAGGCCAGCAGAGCUAGAAAAAACCCUAGGACAACUAGUCCAGCAACGGCGAAACAUUCAUUUUAACCUUAGUUCACAUGGUGCAGCCGCUACAGAAAACGGUAUGCGAGUUCCUCAAAAAAUGAAACAUAUGAUCCAGCAGUUUCACUUCUGGGUUUCUGGGUAUAUUCCCAAAAAAACUGAAAGCAGAAACUUAAAUAGCUGUUUGUACACCCACGCUUAUAGCAGCAUUAGUCACAAUAGCCAAAAGGUAGAAGAAGCCCAAGUGUAUAUCAACAGAUGCAUGGAGAAACAAAUGUGUAUACAUACAAUGGGUUAUUAUUCAGCUAUAAAAAAGGAAUGAGGCCAGGAUCAGUGGCUCACACCUGUUAUCCCAGCAUUUUGGGAGGCCAAGGUGGGCGGAUAACCUGAGGUCAGGAGUUCAAUACCGGCCUGGCCAACUUGGUGAAACCCCCGUCUCUACAAAAAUGCAAAAAUUAGCCGGGCAUGAUGGCAGGUACCUGUAAUUCCAGCUACUUGGGAGGCUGAGGCAGAAGAAUUGCUUGAACCACGGAGGCGGAGGUUGCAGUGAGCUGAGAUCGCACCAUUGCACUCCAGCCUGGUUGACAGAGCGAGACUCUGUCUCAAAAAAAAAAAAAAAAGGAAUGAAAUUCAGAUACAUGCUACAACAUGGAUCAACCUUGAAGACAUCAUACUAAGUAAAAUAAGCCAGUCACAAAAGGAUAAGCAGUAUAUGAUUCCACUUAUAUGAGGUACCUAAAGUAGUCUAAUUCAAAGACAGAAAGUAUAAUAGUGAUUACCACGGGUUGGAGGGAAGGAGAAGGGGAGUUAUUGUUUAAUCAUAUAGAGUUUGGGAAGAUGAAAAAGUCCUGGAGAUGGACAGUGGUGAUGGUUGUACAAUAAUGUGGAUGUACUUAAUGCCACUGAACGGCACACUUAAAAUGGUUAACAUGGUAAAUUUUAUGUUAUGCAUAUUUUACAACAAUAAAC
rnacentral:lncRNA from 10 species